rnacentral:misc_RNA from 1 species
GGGAGAAUAGAAUGAAACUCGAUGAAGUAAAAGGUGGAUUCAAAGUGUUUAGUAAUAGUAGUAUUGAAGAAACCCCAGAUGAAAAUGAUGACAAAGAUUGUGUUUUUAUUAGUGGAAGUAAUACUCAAGUAGAUAAAAAGUUGGAUAUGGGGCCAAAAAGAGAAAAUCUUGAUGUUGGGGUAGUGAGUGGAAAGAGAAAAACUUGGAAAACUACUGAGAGUUUUGAGGGGAACCCAAUUCAGAUUGCUAGUAAAAAAACUGAUUUGAGCAAAAGUUUGGAUGGUAAAAGUAGAGAUUUGAGUGUUU